AUUGAACGCUGGCGGAAUGCUUUACACAUGCAAGUCGAGCGGCAGCGCGGGGCAACCUGGCGGCGAGCGGCGAACGGGUGAGUAAUACAUCGGAACGUGCCCAGACGUGGGGGGAUAACUACUCGAAAGAGUGGCUAAUACCGCAUACGAUCUAAGGAUGAAAGCGGGGGAUCGCAAGACCUCGCGCGUUUGGAGCGGCCGAUGGCAGAUUAGGUAGUUGGUGGGGUAAAGGCUUACCAAGCCCGCGAUCUGUAGCUGGUCUGAGAGGAUGAUCAGCCACACUGGGACUGAGACACGGCCCAGACUCCUACGGGAGGCAGCAGUGGGGAAUUUUGGACAAUGGGCGAAAGCCUGAUCCAGCCAUUCCGCGUGCAGGAUGAAGGCCCUCGGGUUGUAAACUGCUUUUGUACAGAACGAAAAAGACUCUUCUAAUACAGAGAGUCCAUGACGGUACUGUAAGAAUAAGCACCGGCUAACUACGUGCCAGCAGCCGCGGUAAU
rnacentral:rRNA from 1 species